UUGAUCUUAGUGCGCAUGACCAAGAGAACAUGGUGCUCACUUGACAAGGCUGAUUUCCGCACGUGUCUUUUUCACCGUAUGUACGCCUAGAAAGACGAGAUGGCUGAAGGUACAGCAACUAUCCGAACACGGAAGUUCAUGACCAAUCGGCUUCUAUGCCGAAAACAAAUGGUCGUAGAUGUAAUCCAUCCUGGACAACCGUCAGUUCGGAAAACUGAAAUACGAGAAAAGUUAGCCAAAAUGUAUAAAGUAACUCCAGAUGUUGUCUUUGUGUUUGGCUUUCGAACCAACUUUGGUGGCGGCAAAUCAUCUGGAUUUUGUCUUAUUUACGACACUUUGGAUUUUGCCAAAAAAUUCGAACCCAAAUACAGGUUAGCAAGGCAUGGUCUCUUUGAGAAACAAAAACAGACUAGAAAACAGCGUAAAGAACGUAAGAAUAGGAUGAAGAAAGUUAGAGGCACUAAGAAGAGUAAAGUAGGAGCAGCAUCUAAAAAGGGAAGGAAGUAAACAAAUAAUCAUCAUCAUUUAUUGUACUUCUGGAGGAGCAAUAUCUUGUUGCUUAAUCAGGUAAACCUACAAGUCAUCAGGAAUACCAACUUGGACGUAAAAGUUAUUAUAUUUUACUGGGGUGUAGAGAGCUGUAUAAUUAUAAUAAAUUUUACGAAAUAAACGUG